UUACGAAAACUUCGCAAUGCACGAAAGUGUGACGAGGCUAUCCCGAGUGCCGUCCGCUGAGGAUGGCUUUUCUCCAGUGUAAGGGGCUGGAGGAAUAAGGAGAGGGCAAGUCUGGUGUCAGCCGCCGCGGUAAUACCAGCUCUCCGAGUGGUAGGGACGAUUAUUGGGCUUAAAGCGUCCGUAGCCGGCUCGACAAGUCCUCCGUUAAAUCCAGCGAUUCAAUCGUUGGACUGCGGGGGAUACUGUCGGGCUUGGGGACGGGAGAGGCCGACGGUAUUCUCGGAGUAGGGGUGAAAUCCUAUAAUUCCGGGAGGACCACCAGUGGCGAAGGCUGUCGGCUAGAACGAGCUCGACGGUGAGGGACGAAAGCUGGGGGAGCGAACCGGAUUAGAUACCCGGGUAGUCCCAGCUGUAAACGAUGCGGGCUAGGUGUUAGGGUGGCUACGUGCCACUCUAGUGCCGCAGCGAAGGCAUUAAGCCCGCCGCCUGGGGAGUACGGCCGCAAGGCUGAAACUUAAAGGAAUUGGCGGGGGAGCACCACAAGGCGUGAAGCGUGCGGUUUAAUUGGAGUCAACACCGGGAACCUUACCGAGGGCGACAGCAGGUUGAAGGCCAGAUUGACGAUCUUGCCAGACAAGCU
rnacentral:rRNA from 1 species